rnacentral:rRNA from 1 species
GAUGAACGCUGGCGGCGUGCCUAAUACAUGCAAGUCGAACGCAUAGAGAAAGGUGUUUGCACCUUUCAAGUGGGUGGCGAACGGGGGAGAACCACGUGAACAACCUGCUACAAGACUGGGGUUAAUACUUGGAAACAGAUGCAAAUCCCGAAUAUAUCUUAAUGUCGCAUGACACAUAGUUAAAAGGCGUUUCGGCGUCACCUAUAGAUGGAUCCGCGGUGCAUUAGUUAGUUGGUGGGGUAAAGGCCUACCAAGACAAUGAUGCAUAGCCGAGUUGAGAGACUGAUCGGCCACAUUGGGACUGAGACACGGCCCAAACUCCUACGGGAGGCAGCAGUAGGGAAUCUUCCGCAAUGGGCGAAAGCCUGAUGAAGCAACGCCGCGUGUGUGAUGAAGGCUUUCGGGUCGUAAAGCACUGUUAUAAGGGAAGAACAGCUAUGAUAGUAAAUGAGUUUAGUUUGACGGUACCAUACCAGAAAGGGACGGCUAACUACGUG